rnacentral:pre_miRNA from 1 species
GCCCGGCAGGGGGUUGGCUGGCAGAGGAAGGGAAUGGUCCAGGAUCCGCCAAGCGUGUUUUCAGGUGGUUCAUUGCUUCUCCCUAGAAUGUCAGGUGAUGUGUCAUCCCAA